UACGAGGGGGGCGAGCGUUGUUCGGAAUUAUUGGGCGUAAAGGGUGCGUAGGCGGUUUGGUAAGUCUUAUGUGAAAUCUACAGGCUCAACUUGUAGUCUGCAUGAGAAACUGCCGGGCUUGAGUGUGGGAGAGGUGAGUGGAAUUCCUGGUGUAGCGGUGAAAUGCGUAGAUAUCAGGAGGAACACCAAUAGCGAAGGCAGCUCGCUGGGACGUUACUGACACUGAGGCGCGAAAGCGUGGGGAGCGAACAGG
rnacentral:rRNA from 1 species